UCCGGCAAAAGUAGCCGUAGUAGAACUGUAUUGCAACUAAAGAGGAAGUAGUUUUGAGUAUUGUGAUAAUUCUGUCCAACUGUUAUUAUUACGGAGUAUAGAAAACACAACUGAUCAGCGUGAUGCCAGCCCAUCCCUCUGUGAGGGAACCCGAGGAGGAGAUGGAGGCGGAGGGAGAGAGUGAGCUGCCCGAUGCCAACGGAGAGAUGGAAGAAGAGAGGGACAGGGAGGGAGGGGGAGUUGCAGGGGAGGAGACCAUGGAGGAAAGCACGGAGGAGAGGGAGAGCGACUUAGACGAGAGCGAGGAGGAGGAAGAGGAGGAGGAAAGUUCCGAGAUGGAUGAGGAGGACUGUGAGAGGAGAAGGGGGGAGUGUCUGGAUGAGAUGUCAGACCUGGAGAAACAGUUCCUGGAACUCAAAGACCAGCUGUUCCAUGAGCGGUUGAACCAGGUCAAGGUGAAGCUUGAUGAGGUGUUAACGGGUAAAGCUGGAGAAUACAGAGAACCCCUGGCAACUCUUCAACGCAACAUGACACUACGUACCCAGGUCGCAGGUGUGUACCGAGAACUGUGUCUGCAGGUGAUCAAACACAAGUAUGAGUGUGAGCUACAGGGAGCCCGACAACAUCUAGAGAGCGAGAGGACGUUGCUGUUUGAUGCCAUGAAAACAGAGCUGCUGGACAAGAUCGGUAGACUGGAGGAGGACAGGCAAAGUGUUGAUCUUACUUCAGAGUGGUGGAAGGAUGUGGUGAAGGAGAAGAGGUGUAAAAGGCGGAGUCUGCUGGCCCGGUCGGAGAGGAAGAAGAAGGCAGCCCUGGUGUCUGGUCCAUUCAUUGUGUACAUGUUGAGAGACAUUGACAUCCUGGAAGACUGGGCUGCUAUCAAGAAGGCUCAAGCAGCACUGACGCCACUUAAGAAGAAAUCUGACAGAAGCCUUGUGGAUGUGACACCCUGCUCGUGAAGACAACUUCUGACAUGUUCUCCAGGAAGCCAUGUGGAUAUGAAACCCUGCUCGUGAAGACAACUUCUGACAUGUUCUCCAGGAAGCCAUGUGGAUGUGAAACCCUGCUUGUGAAGACAACUUCUGACAUGUUCUCCAGGAAGCCAAGAGACACCCGCUGAGUCGUGUCCUAUAAUGUUUGAUAAGGUCGGGGAACACAAAAAAUUCAAGAUCGUUCCUCCGUACAGAAACUCCCCAGAGUCCUCCGAUCAAAAUGUUGAACAGGGAGGACAGGACAUGGGGGCAAUGAAGGAGAGAACAAAGUUUAAGCACAAGAUAAUGACAUCACAGUAAACAUUACACACACAAACAUUUUUAAAAGGAUUAAGUGCUUUCAAAUGUCAUUAUUAGCUAGGGACAGUGUUGUAACAAUUUUCUCUCUCUUCGUUCUUCGUCUCCCUCUCUCUCCCAGAGCGGUGAUAAGACAAAAGUGGGCCUCCGUCCUCCAAACGAACCUCAACCAAAAUCCCGGAGCUGCCGAACGGAACCCGGGACCACGGGAGUGUCUUGACCACAGCACAGUCUGGAACUGCCAUAGAGAUGGUUGGAGGCCUGUGGUGACCAAAUGGCCGUUCUGGCACGGGCAGCACCAUUGAGGGCUUUCACAAUUUUUUUCGUUGUCCACUGGGUGGGACUUCGGACACCGCUGUCCGAUAACCCUGCUGGAGUCAUCUCCAUCUGGCUCAACGGCAGGGGUCAUCUGGGCUCCAGAUUGGCCGGCACCGUCUGGUUUCGGUGGGUUAGUAGUUGAAUCGCGUCGCCUUGCCUCAUUGCUCUCUGGUGACUCCUUUUGGCGGCUCGGGCACUUGUGGGCUCGUUCAAGGUAAAAGACCGGGGACUGUGUUCCCUCCGGCGCAUAAGGAGCAAGGUCUAGACGUCUUGGUUGAGUGAGCAACGUGAUAAGAAGCGGAAUGGCACCGGAUGUGCUUCGGAGGACGCUCGCUUCGUCAUCGACUUUUGCGGGUCCGCUGGGAAUUGCGGCGAUGAGGCAGGAGUCAUGGAAAAAAAGAAAAAGUUAUAAUAAUAAUCUAAAAAGAAUGAAUCGACCAGAUGUUUAAAGGAAAACUUAAAAAUGUAAAUUGUCCCAAUGGUGCUGCCAUAGCUCACAGAUUUCACAACAAUCACUGUGUGUUUCAGUCCGGAUCAGAACAGUCAAAUUCAGCCCGCCACAUUAUGAAUAUCACCAGGCUUUGCUCGGUUUCUCCAUUGCUGAACGUGUAAUUAUCCCCCCCAUCAUUAUAUAUGACUGAGCUAUGAAUUAUACCUUUUGCUUUCCUUGUCUGACCCCCACAACGUGUAUGUUUUCAUUUAAAUACAUUUUGAAAAAGGUUGAAAUUGCCGUCUCGGUGACUGUGAUGACAAGCUUGGUGACAGCCCCCGGUUAGGCCUGGACACCAAAAGACCUGUUGAUUUGCACUUCACAAAAAAAAGCCCAUUACAUUUUUCUCUGGUGAAAAGAGGUAUUUUCUUACAAAAAGGGAGAAAGUAAAAAAAAAUAAAACUUUGGAUCCCGAAAUCACCACCCGUUUUUCCGUCAGGGUUAGUUUCCAGGGAGAAGGUCCAGGUGUAAAAAUCUUUUUGCGUACUGAAAGGCCCUUGUAGGUCUGGGUGGUUGAGGAAACCAGGUCAGUUCACUACAAGCUUCCUGCUGUAACUUAUGUGAUCACUACGGUUACUACUGUAAUGUGUACAGUUGCCACGGCUACCGCUGCCGACUGUCACUUAACCAAGUGUAUUAUUUAAGAUUAUUUUAUUCUUAUAAAGACCAUGUAUUUAUAACGAUUUAAUAAAAAUAAUUGCGUGUUAAA